UCGAACGAAGGCCCUUAUUUCGGUUGGGUCCUUAGUGGCGCACGGGUGCGUAACGCGUGGGAGUCUGCCCCUUGGUUCGGAAUAACAGUUAGAAAUGACUGCUAAUACCGGAUGAUGACGUAAGUCCGAAGAUUUAUCGCCGAGGGAUGAGCCCGCGUAGGAUUAGCUAGUUGGUGUGGUAAGAGCGCACCAAGGCGACGAUCCUUAGCUGGUCUGAGAGGAUGAUCAGCCACACUGGGACUGAGACACGGCCCAGACUCCUACGGGAGGCAGCAGUGGGGAAUAUUGGACAAUGGGCGAAAGCCUGAUCCAGCAAUGCCGCGUGAGUGAUGAAGGCCUUAGGGUUGUAAAGCUCUUUUACCCGGGAUGAUAAUGACAGUACCGGGAGAAUAAGCUCCGGCUAACUCCGUGCCAGCAGCCGCG
rnacentral:rRNA from 1 species